rnacentral:rRNA from 1 species
CGCUGGCGGCGUGCUUAACACAUGCAAGUCGAACGAUGGAUGCUGGAGCUUGCUCCAGUUGAUUAGUGGCGAACGGGUGAGUAACACGUGAGCAAUCUGCCCUUGACUCUGGGAUAACUGCGGGAAACUGUAGCUAAUACCGGAUACUUCACCGGAAGGCAUCUUCUGGUGAUGAAAGAAUUUCGGUCAGGGAUGAGCUCGCGGCCUAUCAGCUUGUUGGUGAGGUAACGGCUCACCAAGGCGACGACGGGUAACCGGCCUGAGAGGGUGACCGGUCACACUGGGACUGAGACACGGCCCAGACUCCUACGGGAGGCAGCAGUGGGGAAUAUUGCACAAUGGGCGCAAGCCUGAUGCAGCAACGCCGCGUGAGGGAUGAAGGCCUUCGGGUUGUAAACCUCUUUUAGCAGGGAAGAAGCGAAAGUGACGGUACCUGCAGAAAAAGCACCGGCUAACUACGUG